rnacentral:lncRNA from 1 species
CAUCAACAAAAGCCUGGCCUCCCGUUGGCUGGGUGUCUGGCUGGGGGAAAACUAAGGUGACUACAUCUCCAGUGUUCAAGACCCUGUGCUAAAGCUUAUUUCUAGGCAAGCUUUUAUUAAAAUAGAGUUCCUCAUUAGCAUCCUCACCACUGCACAGUGAGGAAUGGAUGAAUAAUCUCACUUUAAAGAUAAGGAAUCUGAGGCUCAGAGAAGAGAAGGAAGUUCACCCUAAGACCCGUAAAGUUAAAAUUAGGGGAUAAGAGAUUGAGAGGCACCAUAAGGAGGAAGACCCUGAAGCUCAGAGAAAGGCUCCAUAGUUCGAACUUACUUUGGAGGCUUUUCUUUUUUUCUUUUUAAUUUUUUUUUAAUAUUUAUUUUUCAGUUCUUGGCGGACACAACAUCUUUGUUUGUAUGUGGUGCUGAGGAUCGAACCCAGGCCGAAUGCAUGCCAGGCGAGCGCGCUACCACUUGAGCCACAUCCCCAGCCUCCUUGGAGGCUUUUCUUUAUUUGAUUUUUUUAAAAGUAGGACACCAGCGACUCUGUAUCAUGAUAUAGGCAUUGCAGAUCCUAUUCAGCUUGGCCCUUUGGGCAACAUUUCCCUGGAACUUUGACACAUGGAGUGUUAACAGAUGUGUAAUUUUCCUCAGGCAAAGGAAGGGUCAUAGUCUUAAAGGAGCCAGAAAACAAAGACAGGCUUUUAAAGUCCAAGGUCUCCAUGCAGGUAAGAGACAGGAAUGAGUGAAAGAUGUCAUAUGUGAUAUGUAAAAUCUUUUUUUUUCCUUAUAGUCCUCCUCAUUCCCUGUCCCACUCAAACCAAUACCUUCUAAGCUGGAGAAGGGAAAGAAAGUUU